rnacentral:rRNA from 1 species
GCACGGAGUUAGCCCGUGCUUCUUCUGAAGGUAGUGUCAAGUUCCUCAGGUGUUAACUGAGAAAAUUUCUUCCCAACCGAAAGUGCUUUACAACCCGCAGGCCUUCUUCACACACGCGGCAUUGCUGGAUCAGGCUUGCGCCCAUUGUCCAAUAUUCCCCA